AGCAAGGGACGACCCUAGUGAAUGCUCUUACUUUUUCCGGGACGACCCGG
rfam:Vibrio sp. C7 DNA, contig: contig00017, strain: JCM 19233.